rnacentral:tRNA from 1 species
CCCCGCCCCUAGCACGGUUCAUGCCUAAUGACGUCACCAACGUUCGUUGUUCUCGCUCCUUUACCUGGGUCCUUUGUCCUCAAACAGGACUUUCCGGCCAUUUUAUCUAGUUCAGACUAAAGAAUUUCUUUAACAAUGCACAUUUGUCACUUGGGACAUAUUUAGAGAGACAGCAGCUCUUUAGUGAGCCAAGCUAUCACAAAUGUUGAUGUAGGGUGCAUGUGAGAUCUGCUUCCCUUGCUUUUAUUUCCUGCUGUAAAGAACUAAACACUGGAGAAAACAGCACCAUUUUCUUCCACUAUUUCGACUUCAGGACAAGCCUGAUUGCAAAGUCUUGCUUCCGCAAGGUAAAUGUGUGGGUGGUCACUAAGACUUAUCACUUAAGCACAGUGCUGGGGACUGUCUGUGCUGUUUUCUCCUUCGACGAAUUAUUUACUAGUAUGUUAAUGUUUGCUACUCUGGUCCAAAUUUGGCUUUUUCCUUGAUUCAAUAACAUUAUUCUCAAUAAAUAGCACCCUUUGGGUAGACAAAGUUAGAAGGUGCCUUCUUGCAGGCCUUUGUCUGAAGUAGUUAUAGAACAGCAACUGCAAAUACAGUUAAGGGUAAUAUCAAGAGGUCCUCUCUACUAGCUAGCAGAGUGGCGCAGCGGAAGCGUGCUGGGCCCAUAACCCAGAGGUCGAUGGAUCGAAACCAUCCUCUGCUAUGUGAUGGUCUAUGUUUUUUUCCCUUUCCAAGUUAAGUUCGUUUUGUAGUUAGAUCUCGGCAAAACGGAACUGAAACUUUCAUGGACGCUCAAGUAGUAACUAAUGUGUUCUCUUGAUAAUAAGUCAUAUUUACUUUGGCUAAUCUUUGCUCUAUAAAGCCUUAAAUUCCUAAACGAAGACGAAUACAAAGCAGAAAUAAAAGUCUUGAAGACUAAUAAGACUUCCAUCAACAAUUCUCACCAGCUGUGCCACCAUUUUCCUUGAUGGUUAAGCUGCAAGUGACAUCUGAGCAUCUACGCAGCUUUUCAAGAAAUCGCUGACUCUGGGAAGAAAGAACAUUCUGUUGUGGGGUGUUCACCAGAAAAGACUUCUCAGACAUGGGUUUUAGCCAAAUAGAAAGUCCUUCUUAGCCAGCCAGUGACUACACUGUGUGUUCCAGAUCACUGGUGAGGCCCUGAGCCUUUCUCUGGGUUAGCUUUUAAGCACAAAAAUCAUGUGAGAUACUUCAAUUGACAAGAACAGUUAGCUAGAAGCAGAACUACAGAAGCCAGAAAACAAGGGUGAUACAUUUAGGGACUCCCAAAACUAUGGACUUUGAUGGAUUGAGGUUUUGUUUUAGUUUUGACAGGUAGUGCCACCUAUUACAGCCGGAAUGGCAUUUCAAUCAUGAAGUCAGUUGUGCUAAGGUCUCAGGGCCUGUUACAUACCAAAAUCACCUUCCACAGUACCAAAGGAUGUGUCCGUGUGAACAAAGCUCACCUGACAGGCGAUUGUGGGAUUCCAGAACAAAAGUGUGUAAAGAAUUCAUGUUUCUAUUUCAUUCUUCCUAUUUUCCAGAUGUUAUUCUUCUGACAGGAAAGAAAGGCUGUGUAAAAGGCUCCCUUUCUGAACUCCAGUAAUUGCUUUUAGUAAUCAUGAAACCAUCGUGAAUUCUAUGAAUGUUUCUUCUCUAAAAUUGUUAUAAUACCUUUUUUAUUCAUAAGUGUAAAACGUGGUAAUAGUCAAAAUGGUUUGUAUUCCUAACUUUAGGUCUUUUCACUUAUUAAUGAAAGCUAAUUUACAAAUAGCAAUUGAUGAUCUUGGACCUGUCAAGAAACUAGAGGAUCUCAAAAAAAAAAAAAAAAAAAAAGUACUGUUUUCUCUUUGAAAUGAACAGUAUGUAUCUUGAAAAGUGCUGUGGCACCAAGUUAUAAGAAUCAACGAAAGUAGAACGUGGGAGGGUGGCUUUGUUACACCAGAGGGUCUGCAAGUAAUGAAUUUGUGAAUGACGAGCAUUAAUAGGGAAGCAGUUUACAAUACCGAAAUAACUCAGUCCCAAUUUUUUCUAAAUCUGACCCUAUGGUCCCGAAUAAUCCAUAGACUCUCCUGGUGUGGACUGCAUUGCCUUCUAUAAUGUGGAGCGCCCAGCAGACAGUUCCUUUCGCUUCCUAAAUGUUGUGGCCAGGAACUGUUCCUGUGACCACGUGGCCUAAUGGAUAAGGCGUCUGACUUCGGAUCAGAAGAUUGAGGGUUCGAAUCCCUUCGUGGUUAGCAACACUUUUUUCUUCCUUCCCUCUGAUUUCUGUAAGUUAAAUUGUGACGUACGGUCAAAAAAUAAAAGAAAACUUCAUUUCCCGGG